CUCCCCGAAAGCUAUUUAGGUAGCGCCUCGUGAAUUCAUCUCCGGGGGUAGAGCACUGUUUCGGCAAGGGGGUCAUCCCGACUUACCAACCCGAUGCAAACUGCGAAUACCGGAGAAUGUUAUCACGGGAGACACACGGCGGGUGCUAACGUCCGUCGUGAAGAGGGAAACAACCCAGACCGCCAGCUAAGGUCCCAAAGUCAUGGUUAAGUGGGAAACGAUGUGGGAAGGCCCAGACAGCCAGGAUGUUGGCUUAGAAGCAGCCAUCAUUUAAAGAAAGCGUAAUAGCUCACUGGUCGAGUCGGCCUGCGCGGAAGAUGUAACGGGGCUAAACCAUGCACCGAAGCUGCGGCAGCGACGCUGAUGCGUUGUUGGGUAGGGGAGCGUUCUGUAAGCCUGCGAAGGUGUGCUGUGAGGCAUGCUGGAGGUAUCAGAAGUGCGAAUGCUGACAUAAGUAACGAUAAAGCGGGUGAAAAGCCCGCUCGCCGGAAGACCAAGGGUUCCUGUCCAACGUUAAUCGGGGCAGGGUGAGUCGACCCCUAAGGCGAGGCCGAAAGGCGUAGUCGAUGGGAAACAGGUUAAUAUUCCUGUACUUGGUGUUACUGCGAAGGGGGGACGGAGAAGGCUAUGUUGGCCGGGCGACGGUUGUCCCGGUUUAAGCGUGUAGGCUGGUUUUCCAGGCAAAUCCGGAAAAUCAAGGCUGAGGCGUGAUGACGAGGCACUACGGUGCUGAAGCAACAAAUGCCCUGCUUCCAGGAAAAGCCUCUAAGCAUCAGGUAACAUCAAAUCGUACCCCAAACCGACACAGGUGGUCAGGUAGAGAAUACCAAGGCGCUUGAGAGAACUCGGGUGAAGGAACUAGGCAAAAUGGUGCCGUAACUUCGGGAGAAGGCACGCUGAUAUGUAGGUGAAG
rnacentral:rRNA from 1 species